UUUUUGCUUUUGGUAUCUUCCAUAUCUCGAGGAGCACAUUAUGACUUUUAACACAUAAUGUUGAUAUUUGAUUACUUAGGGGGCUGCUUCUUCAUUUUCUUUUCUCUAGAAUUAUUUGAGUUCAUUUGAUUACAUAACUAAGAGUAUUGACAUCUUACUAUGUUAGAAGGAUUAAGACUUUACACUCGCUAUGUUGUUCCAGCUGUUUAUGUAGCUUUGACAUAUUGAUGGUUACAGAUUCACUUGCAGAAUAUCUUCAUUCUGAUAAUUGUUAAGUAAUGUUUGUCUCUCAUUUACUAUAGAUCCUACAACUGAGUUUAAGGGAAUGAUGGGUGAAGGUGGAGGAGUUGAUGAAGACAAUACUAAAUCCUAUAGGGCGAGGAUUAUUUUUUCACUGGCCAAGGACAAGCUAAGAUAGCUCCAAGGUCAUAUGAGCUCCUCCAUUUGGUUGUGGGCUGGUGCAGGCUGUUGUUGCGACUGUUCCUCUGAUAGGCUGGACCUAGCGAUGGCAAGAUGUUAUUGUCUGAUCUGUCAUGAGAGCCUUGCUCCAUGAAUCACCGCCUUGGAUUGGGUCUAAAGGUUUGCUUGAGGCGACACCUCCAGUUGAGUUUGAAGAGGUCAGACAAAUAUCACUUCGCAAAUUUGAUUCCCAAUGGAGAAACCAAAUAUGAAGCAAAGAUUAAGGAGAGAGCAAGGAUAACAAAAAACCACGUUUGUGUAACAAAAGCCACUUCUGUAUAACCAAAAUGAAUAGCUGGUUAUAUAAGUUUUGGUACACAAAUGAUGAUUUUGUAUUGGUUUCUACCUCUGUUAUUCUCUAAGAUUAAAGUGUUUGACAUAAUGUUCAUCUGUGUGAAAGAUGGGCCACGUGCCAAGGUGUGCCCUAUCAUAGUAAAAAAGCAUAA